GGCUCGUACCUCUGUUUC
rnacentral:snRNA from 1 species